UCACCUACGGGGGGCUGCAGUGAGGGAUAUUGCACAAUGGGGGAAACCCUGAUGCAGCGACGCCGCGUGGGCGAUGAAGGUCUUCGGAUCGUAAAGCCCUUUUCUGUGUGACGAGCAAGGACGGUAGCACAGGAAUAAGUCUCGGCUAACUACGUGCCAGCAGCCGCGGUAAAACGUAGGAGGCAAGCGUUAUCCGGAGUUACUGGGCGUAAAGCGCAAGUAGGCGGCCUGACAAGUUGGUUGUGAAAGCGCCCGGCUAAACUGGGCGAGGCCGACCAAGACUGUUAAGCUAGAGAGUGAUAGAGGGGCGCAGAAUUCGGGGUGUAGCGGUGAAAUGUGUAGAGAUCCCGAGGAAUACCAGUGGGGAAGCCGGCGCCCUGGGUCAUAUCUGACGCUGAGAUGCGAAAGCGUGGGGAGCGAACGGGAUUAGAUACCCUUGUAGUCU
rnacentral:rRNA from 1 species